CAGCCGCCGCGGGAAUACGAAGGGGGCUAGCGUUGCUCGGAAUUACUGGGCGUAAAGGGCGCGUAGGCGGAUGUUUAAGUCAGAGGUGAAAGCCCAGGGCUCAACCUUGGAACUGCCUUUGAUACUGGACAUCUUGAGUGUGGGAGAGGUGAGUGGAACUCCGAGUGUAGAGGUGAAAUUCGUAGAUAUUCGGAAGAACACCAGUGGCGAAGGCGACUCACUGGCCCAUUACUGACGCUGAGGCGCGAAAGCGUGGGGAGCAAACAGGAUUAGAUACCCGUGUAGUCCCUGUCUCUUAUAC
rnacentral:rRNA from 1 species